UUUCCGUAGGUGAACCUGCGGAAGGAUCAUUGCAAAUGAUUUGGGAGAAAUUUGUUGGAAUGUGAUGACUACUAUUAGGCAAAUUCAUCCUUUUACUAUUACAACUCUCCACAAUGGAUCUCUGGGCUCUU
rnacentral:misc_RNA from 1 species